GAGGAUCCUAAAAAUUAAGAGGACAAAUUAUUGUAUAAAUAGUAAUGGUAUAAAUACUAGUUUCAUGUGUAUACUAUAAUAAGAAUUGUAUAUAUAGUUGUAAUAAUUAAUAUUAUGCAUACACUAUUGUUGGGGGGAAAUAUUAACGAUCCCCUACGACACCAUUUAAGGAAGCAGACACGGAGGCCCGGGCCCACCUAGACGUGAUCAAAGCUCCGCCUCGCUCGACCAAGACGCCAGGAUCGGGAACGUCCGACCCCCCCCCUCCCGCAAAGUUUCCGCCUCGCCCGACCGCGACCCCGGGGUCGGGAGUGCCCGACCCCUCGCAUCCGGGUUCCGCCUCGUCCGACCCCAAGCAAAGGGGUCGGGCGCGCUGGGGCCCCCCCGGAGCGGGGAUCCCCCUCGGAUGCGAUCCAGAUGAGCAAAACAGACAAAAUCCUGUGGGUCCGUCGGCCUCGCCAUAAAUGCACCGCAGGCCUGGCAGAGGGAUGGUCGACCGCGCU
rnacentral:lncRNA from 1 species